rnacentral:rRNA from 1 species
AUUCCAGCUCCAAUAGCGUAUAUUAAAGUUGCUGCAGUUAAAAAGCUCGUAGUUGGAUCUUGGGAGCGGGCGGGCGGUCCGCCGCGAGGCGAGCCACCGCCCGUCCCCGCCCCUUGCCUCUCGGCGCCCCCUCGAUGCUCUUAGCUGAGUGUCCCGCGGGGCCCGAAGCGUUUACUUUGAAAAAAUUAGAGUGUUCAAAGCAGGCCCGAGCCGCCUGGAUACCGCAGCUAGGAAUAAUGGAAUAGGACCGCGGUUCUAUUUUGUUGGUUUUCGGAACUGAGGCCAUGAUUAAGAGGGACGGCCGGGGGCAUUCGUAUUGCGCCGCUAGAGGUGAAAUUCUUGGACCGGCGCAAGACGGACCAGAGCGAAAGCAUUUGCCAAGGAUGUUUUCAUUA